rnacentral:rRNA from 1 species
AUGCUUGUCGAGACAAACAAGCAUGAACAAUACUAUAUUGUUUACAAGCUUCUCAAGUUGGUAUUAAUUCUGCCAGUAGCUACUGCUAGUGUUGAAAGGGUGUUCUCUUCAAUGAACUAUGUGAAGAAUAAGCUAAGGAGCAAAAUGGGUGAUGAUUACUUGAACAAUUUUUUGGUUACAUUUGUUGAGAGAGAAUUCUUCAAUCAAGUAAAGGAUGAGGAUGUCAUCAAUCUCUACCAAAAAGGCGAUCGCAAAGUUAUAUUGUAA